rnacentral:misc_RNA from 1 species
ACUCAUAUGUCUUUGAUCCACUCUUGGAAACCACACAUCUAAACUGCAAUUUUUUCUGAUAAUAGAUGAAAAGUGCAUCAGAUGGUUAUAUGAUGAGAAUAACAAAAGUAUAGAAACAAGCGUAGGAUCACUAUAGGAACAAUAAAUGCAUGUUGGAUCCAAUUGCAUGAACACUGAUGACCAAAGGAUGGAGAAAACUAACUAAAAUCAACCCAAUACAUAUGAAAUCUAGCAUAACCAGGAGGAAUAUGUCAUAACAAGUUGCAAUCACAACUCAGAAUAACGAACAUUAGAUAAAGAGCAUUGGCGUCUUCACAAGUUGCAUGACUCCAAGUUUGUCACAUGCAGGUUGUCACAUUAAUUAUGAGUUCAAAUAUAGAAGAUGGAGCAUUCUGAGAACUAAAUCUUCGACAUUAGAGCUUAUUAGUGAUAGGGAUAUGGAGUAUUCUAGAAAAGCAAAGAAGGAAAUCGUGACUAUCUCUCACACACCCCAGCAGUAUACUCACUGCCCCAAGCUACCCAAGCUGGAAGAAAAUACAACUCAGUUCUUUCACACUUGUCUAGCCUUCCCC